rnacentral:rRNA from 1 species
UAAUUGAAGAGUUUGAUCAUGGCUCAGAUUGAACGCUGGCGGCAGGCCUAACACAUGCAAGUCGAGCGGUAACAGAAGGUAGCUUGCUACUUUGCUGACGAGCGGCGGACGGGUGAGUAAUGCUUGGGGAUCUGCCCGGUCGAGGGGGAUAACCGUUGGAAACGACGGCUAAUACCGCAUACGCCCUACGGGGGAAAGCAGGGGACCUUCGGGCCUUGCGCGAUUGGAUGAACCCAAGUGAGAUUAGCUUGUUGGUGAGGUAACGGCUCACCAAGGCGACGAUCUCUAGCUGGUCUGAGAGGAU